UGGGGGUGUCUAUAGUUUUGUAUCAUCGAAUAAAAUAUAUAAAAAUAAUCCAUUCGAGAAUCGGAGUAGUAUAUUAAAAUAUAUCCCUCCGUAAAGGUUUAGACUUAAGGCGUAUCAAUUACUUUAGUUUUACAUAUUUAAUUAAUUUAGUUCUAAAGUUAUUAAUACUAUUUUAUCUUUCUUCAUUAUAAGAUGCUGGGAUAUCCAGCUCUCAUCCACCUACUACUGCAGAGGACGUACA
rnacentral:lncRNA from 1 species